rnacentral:sRNA from 1 species
CUUGACAGUGUGCACGCCCGAAUGUCAUUCACCGAA